rnacentral:rRNA from 1 species
UACGUAGGGUGCGAGCGUUAAUCGGAAUUACUGGGCGUAAAGGGUGCGCAGGCGGUUGAUUAAGUCAGAUGUGAAAUCCCCGGGCUUAACCUGGGAAUUGCGCUUGAAACUAGGUCGCUAGAGUGUGGCAGAGGGGGGUGGAAUUCCACGUGUAGCAGUGAAAUGCGUAGAGAUGUGGAGGAACACCGAUGGCGAAGGCAGCCCCCUGGGUCAACACUGACGCUCAGGCACGAAAGCGUGGGGAGCAAACAGG